rnacentral:rRNA from 1 species
UACAAGUAGUCAGAGCCCGUUAAUGGGUGAUGGCGUGCCUUUUGUAGAAUGAACCGGCGAGUUACGAUUUGAUGCAAGGUUAAGCAGUAAAUGUGGAGCCGUAGCGAAAGCGAGUCUGAAUAGGGCGUUUAGUAUUUGGUCGUAGACCCGAAACCAGGUGAUCUACCCUUGGUCAGGUUGAAGUUCAGGUAACACUGAAUGGAGGACCGAACCGACUUACGUUGAAAAGUGAGCGGAUGAACUGAGGGUAGCGGAGAAAUUCCAAUCGAACCUGGAGAUAGCUGGUUCUCUCCGAAAUAGCUUUAGGGCUAGCCUCAAGUGAUGAUUAUUGGAGGUAGAGCACUGUUUGGACGAGGGGCCCCUCUCGGGUUACCGAAUUCAGACAAACUCCGAAUGCCAAUUAAUUUAACUUGGGAGUCAGAACAUGGGUGAUAAGGUCCGUG